CGCACAUUGCGCCCUUUGGUAUUCCGAAGGGCAUGCCUGUUCGAGCGUCAUUAUCACCCCCUCAAGCCCGGCUUGUUGUUGGAUCUCAGGUCACGAACCCUCGGGCGUCGACCGGUCCCAAAGAUAAUGACGGCGUCUGUGGAGGACUCCAGUACACUGAGCUUUAACCGGCACGUACUUGGCCAGGAAUCCAGACCCGGUCUCUUAUUUUUUUUAAUCUAGGUUGACCUCGGAUCAGGUAGGAAUACCCGCUGAACUUAA
rnacentral:misc_RNA from 1 species